rnacentral:rRNA from 1 species
UGGGGAAUUUUGCACAAUGGGGGAAACCCUGAUGCAGCGACGCCGCGUGAUUUAGAAGGCCUUCGGGUUGUAAAAAUCUUUUCUAUGGGAAGAAAAUGACAGUACCAUAGGAAUAAGGACCGGCUAAUUACGUGCCAGCAGCCGCGGUAAUACGUAAGGUCCGAGCGUUGUCCGGAAUCAUUGGGCGUAAAGGGUACGUAGGCGGGUAAGCAAGUUAGAAGUGAAAUCCUAUAGCUCAACUAUAGUAAGCUUUUAAAACCGCUUAUCUUGAGGUAUGGAAGGGAAAGUGGAAUUCCUAGUGUAGCGGUGAAAUGCGCAGAUAUUAGGAGGAAUACCGGUGGCGAAGGCGACUUUCUGGCCAUAACCUGACGCUGAGGUACGAAAGCGUGGGUAGCAAACAGG